CCAAUAGCGUAUAUUAAGGUUGCUGCGGUUAAAACGCUCGUAGUUGAAUUUCGGGAUUGAUGCAUCGGUCGUGCCUUAAGGGGUAUGAACUGGUGUAGCCAAUUUCUUACCUUCUGGUGAAUUGUGAUGUCCUCCUUAAUUGGGUGUUUCAAUGAACUAGGACCUUUUACUUUGAAAAAAUUAGAGUGUUUAAAGCAGGCAUUAUUUGCUUGAAUACAUUAGCAUGGAAUAAUAAAAUAGGACAAUGAUUCUAUUUUGUUGGUUUCUAGGAUCACUGUAAUGAUUAAUAGGGAUAGUUGGGGGCAUUAGUAUUCAAUUGUCAGAGGUGAAAUUCUUGGAUUAAUUGAAGACUAACUACUGCGAAAGCAUUUGCCAAGGAUGUUUUCAUUAAUCAAGAACGAAAGUUAGGGGAUCGAAGACGAUCAGAUACCGUCGUAGUCUUAACCAUAAACUAUGCCGACUAGGGAUCGGACGAAGUUAAUUUUAUAAUGACGCGUUCGGCACCUUACG
rnacentral:rRNA from 1 species